rnacentral:rRNA from 1 species
UGGGGAAUAUUGCACAAUGGGGGAAACCCUGAUGCAGCGACGCCGCGUGAGCGAAGAAGGCUUUCGAGUCGUAAAGCUCUGUCCUAUGAGAAGAUAAUGACGGUAUCAUAGGAGGAAGCCCUGGCUAAAUACGUGCCAGCAGCCGCGGUAAUACGUAUGGGGCGAGCGUUGUCCGGAAUUAUUGGGCGUAAAGGGUACGUAGGCGGUUUUUUAAGUCAGGUGUCAAAGCGUGGAGCUUAACUCCAUUAAGCACUUGAAACUGAAAGACUUGAGUGAAGGAGAGGAAAGUGGAAUUCCUAGUGUAGCGGUGACAUGCGUAGAUAUUAGGAGGAAUACCGGUGGCGAAUGCGACUUGCUGGAUUUUUACUGACGCUCAGGUACGAAAGCGUGGGGAGCAAACAGG